rnacentral:rRNA from 1 species
GAUGAACGCUGGCGGCGUGCCUAACACAUGCAAGUCGAGCGGCAGCGAGGGGUGCUUGCACCCUGUCGGCGAGCGGCGGACGGCUGAGUAACGCGUGGGAACGUGCCCCAAAGUGAGGAAUAACUGCCCGAAAGGGUAGCUAAUACCGCAUAUUAUCUUCGGAUCAAAGGAUUUAUCCGCUUUGGGAGCGGCUCGCGUCGGAUUAGGUAGUUGGUGAGGUAAUGGCUCACCAAGCCGACGAUCCGUAGCUGGUCUGAGAGGAUGACCAGCCAGACUGGAACUGAGACACGGUCCAGACUCCUACGGGAGGCAGCAGUGGGGAAUCUUCCACAAUGGGCGAAAGCCUGAUGGAGCAACGCCGCGUGCAGGACGAAGGCCUUCGGGUUGUAAACUGCUUUUAUAAGUGAGGAAUAUGACGGUAACUUAUGAAUAAGGAUCGGCUAACUACGUG